rnacentral:RNase_P_RNA from 1 species
ACAGCAGGUCGGUCUGUCGCUUGACGGGGAUACGUGUUUUUCCGAAAACAUCUUCCCCGCAAGAGGAAAGUCCGGGCAACACAGAGCGACGUACCGGUUAACGGCCGGCAGGCAGUGAUGUUUGGUCCCUGGAACAGCGACGAAUGGCAUCCGCAAGGAUGAUGAAACGGCUACACUACGUGUUGCAAUCUCAUGUAAACCCGCGCCUGAGGGCUGCUCGUCCGAGCGGGAGGGUAGAGAGCGCGAGAGCAAUGCAGCAAUGCAUCCGCCCAGAUUAAUGACAGACACUUUUGUGGAGAGCGGAUUCCGCAUCCGUUUUCUGCCAAGGCACAGAACCCGGCUUACAGACCUGCUGUUUUC